AUUGAACGCUGGCGGCAGGCCUAACACAUGCAAGUCGAACGAGUGGCGGACGGGUGAGUAAUGUCUGGGAAACUGCCUGAUGGAGGGGGAUAACUACUGGAAACGGUAGCUAAUACCGCAUACCAUCAGAUGUGCCCAGAUGGGACUAGCUUGUUGGUGGGGUACCGGCUCACCAAGGCGACGAUCCCUAGCUGGUCUGAGAGGAUGACCAGACACACUGGAACUGAGACACGGUCCAGACUCCUACGGGAGGCAGCAUGGGAGAAUAUGGCACAAUGGGCGCAAGCCUGAGAUAGCAAUGACGCGUGUAUGAAGAAGGCGUUCGGGUUGUAAAGUACUUUCAGCGGGGAGGCGUUACCCGCAGAAGAAGCACCGGCUAACUCCGUGCGAGCAGCCGCGGUAAUAC
rnacentral:rRNA from 1 species